CCUACGGGCGGCAGCAGUGGGGAAUAUUGCACAAUGGGGGAAACCCUGAUGCAGCGACGCCGCGUGAGUGAAGAAGUAUCUCGGUACGUAAAGCUCUAUCAGCAGGGAAGAAAAUGACGGUACCUGACUAAGAAGCCCCGGCUAACUACGUGCCAGCAGCCGCGGUAAUACGUAGGGGGCAAGCGUUAUCUGGAUUUACUGGGUGGAAAGGGAGCGUAGACGGUAUGGCAAGUCUGAUGUGAAAACCCGGGGCUCAACCCCGGGACUGCAUUGGAAACUGCCGAACUAGAGUGUCGGAGAGGCAAGUGGAAUUCCUAGUGUAGCGGUGAAAUGCGUAGAUAUUAGGAGGAACACCAGUGGCGAAGGCGGCUUGCUGGACGAUGACUGACGUUGAGGCUCGAAAGCGUGGGGAGCAAACAGGAUUAGAUACCCCUGUAGUC
rnacentral:rRNA from 1 species